rnacentral:siRNA from 1 species
GAGGAGAGGAGCACCAUCUGGCA